rnacentral:rRNA from 1 species
GUGGAAAGCUCCGGCGGUGCAGGAUGAGCCCGCGGCCUAUCAGCUUGUUGGUGAGGUAACGGCUCACCAAGGCGACGACGGGUAGCCGGCCUGAGAGGGCGACCGGCCACACUGGGACUGAGACACGGCCCAGACUCCUACGGGAGGCAGCAGUGGGGAAUAUUGCACAAUGGGCGCAAGCCUGAUGCAGCGACGCCGCGUGAGGGAUGACGGCCUUCGGGUUGUAAACCUCUUUCAGCAGGGAAGAAGCGAGAGUGACGGUACCUGCAGAAGAAGCGCCGGCUAACUACGUGCCAGCAGCCGCGGUAAUACGUAGGGCGCAAGCGUUGUCCGGAAUUAUUGGGCGUAAAGAGCUCGUAGGCGGCUUGUCGCGUCGGUUGUGAAAGCCCGGGGCUUAACCCCGGGUCUGCAGUCGAUACGGGCAGGCUAGAGUUCGGUAGGGGAGAUCGGAAUUCCUGGUGUAGCGGUGAAAUGCGCAGAUAUCAGGAGGAACACCGGUGGCGAAGGCGGAUCUCUGGGCCGAUACUGACGCUGAGGAGCGAAAGCGUGGGGAGCGAACAGGAUUAGAUACCCUGGUAGUCCACGCCGUAAACGGUGGGCACUAGGUGUGGGCAACAUUCCACGUUGUCCGUGCCGCAGCUAACGCAUUAAGUGCCCCGCCUGGGGAGUACGGCCGC